rnacentral:rRNA from 1 species
UAAGAAUUUAAAAGUCGAACAGACUUAUUGUUAAGAAUACUGCUCCUUAAAAUUUUCUUAAUUCAACAUCGAGGUCGCAAAAUAAAAUAUAGAUACGAACUCCCCAUUUAAAUUACGCUGUUAUCCCUAAGGUAACUUAAUCUUAUUAUCCUUCUAUUAUCAAAAAGAUCUAAAAUUACAUAAACAAAUGAAUACUAAAACUAAAGUUAAUUAUUUAGCCACCGCCCCAGCAAAAUAUAAAAUUUAUAUUAAAAACUAUAUUAAUAAAACUUGAUAAUAAAAAAUCAUAUAAAGUUCUAUAGGGUCUUAUCGUCCCAAUAAAUUAAUAAAGCAUUUUAACUUUAAAUUUAAAUUUUAACAUUUAAAGAAAUAAAAUAUAAUUCUCAUACAUCCAUUCAUACAAGCUUUCAAUUAAAAAACUAAUUACUAUGCUACCUUUGCACAGUCAAAAUACUGCAGCCAUUUAGAAAUUAAACCAUGGGGCAGGAGAUACUUUUCAUUAAACCA